GAGUUUGAUCGUGGCUCAGGACAAACGCUGGCGGCGUGCUUAACACAUGCAAGUCGAACGGUAAGGCUCCAGCUUGCUGGGGUACACGAGUGGCGAACGGGUGAGUAACACGUGGGUGACCUGCCCUGCACUUCGGGAUAAGCCUGGGAAACUGGGUCUAAUACCGGAUAGGACCGCACCGUGAGGGUGUGGUGGAAAGUUUUUUCGU
rnacentral:rRNA from 1 species